CUCCCCGGUCUCCUUCCGAGUAAAAUCCGCUGUCACUGUCUCGCAGUGUCUCUUUCCCUCUCCUCCUCCACGCCAAGCACCAUCGUUCAGAUAAGAAAGUUGCGCUUGAUUAGCCAAUGAGGAUUUGUAGGUCGUUGGAAUCGAUGAUCUAAAGAAAGCUCCAUGAAUAAAAUUUUCCGAGUUUAACUUUGAAAAAGUUCUCCAAGUGUCUUGCAUCAUUCACCAGGGAAGGCUGGUGGAUUAAUGUAUUUUCUGCUUGCUAUAUGUGUGAAUUGACAUGAGAAAUGGUUGCAUGAUCAUAAUGAUGGCAGGGGUUCACUGUAGUGGGAGAUUAAUGAUUGAUAUCCACGUGAUUACACCAACAUUCCCAUGGAUUUUGUUGGCGGUGAUGAAACUUUGGUGGCUUAUGAUGAUCAUGCAUUGCAUUGAUUUGUAUUAAAUGGCACUAGUUUAGGAUUGAACAAGGGAAAAGCUCCUAAGGCAUAGGAUAUUUGGUCCUUUCUGUAAUGCCUCAGUUUACUUUUUGAGUUAUGUGUAAUUAACGUGAUAUUCUCAACUAGGAAUUUUUUUUUGGUAACUUGCACCACUGCGUGCUGUUGUUGUGGACUGGUUAUAUUUAGUGUGCUAAUUUAUGUUAUUAGGCUGUAAAGCUUUGAAUAGAGCCUAAAUAUUAGUGUAAGUAUGCUGUUGAUUAUUUUAAUGACUAUAGAUUAUAAUGAUGUGGAUUUUAUGUUGAUUA